rnacentral:rRNA from 1 species
UAAGUCCCGCAACGAGCGCAACCCUUGUCAUUAGUUGCUACAUUCAGUUGGGCACUCUAAUGAGACUGCCGGUGACAAACCGGAGGAAGGUGGGGAUGACGUCAAGUCCUCAUGGCCCUUAUAGGUAGGGCUACACACGUCAUACAAUGGAUGGUACAAAGGGUCGCCAACCCGCGAGGGGGAGCCAAUCCCAUAAAACCAUUCGUAGUCCGGAUCGCAGUCUGCAACUCGACUGCGUGAAGUCGGAAUCGCUAGUAAUCGUGGAUCAGAAUGUCACGGUGAAUACGUUCCCGGGUCUUGUACACAC